rnacentral:rRNA from 1 species
AACGGAGAGGACAAGUGUUAUUCGUAUUGACUGGGUGUAAAACGUGUGUAGGCGGGGUAAAAAGUGCUAAUAAAAAUCGUUUGCAUUAUAUUGGAGCGUAUUUAGCAGACUUUUACUUUUUUUCUGGAGUUGCGGGGGGGUGUGUAGAACACCAGGUGUAGGGGUGAAAUCUGUCAAUAUCUGGGGUACUAUCAGAAGCGAAGGCGACAUACCAUUUGCAGACUGACGCUGAGACACAAAAGCGUGGGUAUCAAACAGG